AUUGAACGCUGGCGGCAGGCCUAACACAUGCAAGUCGAGCGGAUGAAGGGAGCUUUCUCCUGGAUUCAGCUGCGGACGGGUGAGUAAUGCCUAGGAAGCUGCCUUGUAGUGGGGGAUAAGGUACGUAAACGGGCGCUAAUAUCGCAUACGUCCAGAUGGUGAAAGUGGGGGAUCUUCGGACAUCACGCUAUCAGAUGAGCCUAGGUCGUAUUAGCUAGUUGGUUGGGUAAAGGCCUACCAAGGCGACGAUCCGUAACUGGUCUGAGAGGAUGAUCAGUCACACUGGAACUGAGACACGGUCCAGACUCCUACGGGAGGCAGCAGUGGGGAAUCUUCCACAAAGGGCGAAAGCCUGACCCAGCAACGCCGCGUGUGUGAAGAAGGUCUUCGGAUUGUAAAGCACUUUAAGUAGGGAGGAACGACAGUAAGUUAAUCCAUUGCUGUCUUGACGUUACCAACAGAAUAAGCACCGGCUAACUUCGUG
rnacentral:rRNA from 1 species